GAUGAACGCUGACAGAAUGCUUAACACAUGCCAGUCAACUUGAACUUCGGUUUGGGUGGCGGACGGGUGAGUAACGCGUAAAGAACUUGCCUCACAGAUAGGGACAACAUUUGGAAACGAAUGCUAAUACCUGAUAUUAUGAUUUUAGGGCAUCCUAGGAUUAUGAAAGCUAUAUGCGCUGUGAGAGAGCUUUGCGUCCCAUUAGCUAGUUGGAGAGGUAACGGCUCACCAAGGCGAUGAUGGGUAGCCGGCCUGAGAGGGUGAUCGGCCACAAGGGGACGUAAGACACGCCUCUUCCCCCACGGGGAGGCAGCGGGGGGGAAUUUGGGAAGAGGGACAAAGAGUCUGACCCAGCAUUUUUGUGUGCACAAAAAAUUUUUUGGGAAUGAAAAGUGUUUUCAGUUGAAAAAAAAAAAAUGACGGUACCAAAAGAAAAAGUGACGGCAAAAUCCGUG
rnacentral:rRNA from 1 species